CUCAUUUCAGGCUUCCGUUGUGUGGCUUGGCGGCUUGCUGCUUCAUUCCCAUCAGAGGGCAAAGGCUGAAAGAGAAAGAAAUCUCCGUGACUAGGCGCCAACUGAACUGGUGACAUGGAUUGACAGAGCAGUGUUACCAAGCUGCUGUUACCAAGUUACCUGCUGUUACCUGUUACCAAGGUGUUUAUCCGGAAGUGGAGAGGGAAAUUUUUGUUAAAACCAUCUCCUGAUAUUCUUCACAACUAUCAAUGUCACGGAACAACAAGAAAAGAUUAAGAACCUAGCACAGACUAGAGGAGUUUAAGAAGACACGACAACUAAACACAACAUAGGGUCCUGCGUUGUAUCUAGGGACAGAAACAGGAUGCUAGUGAAAGCAACUUACGAC
ensembl:lncRNA